rnacentral:rRNA from 1 species
GCUCAGAACGAACGCUGGCGGCGUGCCUAAUACAUGCAAGUCGAACGAGAAAAUGUAGCAAUACACAUGUAAAGUGGCGAACGGGUGAGGAUUACAUGGGUAACCUACCCUCGAGUGGGGAAUAACCAGCCGAAAGGUUGGCUAAUACCGCGUACGCUUCCGAGACUGCGGUUUCGGAAGGAAAGCGAUACCGUGGGUAUCGCGCUCUUGGAUGGGCUCAUGCCCUAUCAGCUUGUUGGUGAGGUAACGGCUCACCAAGGCAUCGACGGGUAGCUGAUCUGAGAGGAUGAUCAGCCACACUGGCACUGCGACACGGGCCAGACUCCUACGGGAGGCAGCAGUAAGGAAUAUUGCGCAAUGGGCGAAAGCCUGACGCAGCGACGCCGCGUGGGGGAUGAAGGUCUUCGGAUUGUAAACCCCUUUCGGGAGGGAAGAUGGGAUGGGGUAACCCAUUCGGACGGUACCUCCA